rnacentral:rRNA from 1 species
AUUGAACGCUGGCGGCAUGCUUUACACAUGCAAGUCGAACGGUAACAGGCCGCAAGGUGCUGACGAGUGGCGAACGGGUGAGUAAUGCAUCGGAACGUGCCCAGUCGUGGGGGAUAACGCAGCGAAAGCUGCGCUAAUACCGCAUACGAUCUAUGGAUGAAAGCGGGGGACCGUAAGGCCUCGCGCGAUUGGAGCGGCCGAUGUCAGAUUAGGUAGUUGGUGGGGUAAAGGCUCACCAAGCCAACGAUCUGUAGCUGGUCUGAGAGGACGACCAGCCAGACGGGGACUGAGACACGGCCGAGACUCCUACGGGAGGCAGCAGUGGGGAAUUUUGGACAAUGGGCGCAAGCCUGAUCCAGCAAUGCCGCGUGCAGGAAGAAGGCCUUCGGGUUGUAAACUGCUUUUGUACGGAACGAAACGGUCCUGGUUAAUACCCGGGGCUAAUGACGGUACCGUAAGAAUAAGCACCGGCUAACUACGUGCCAGCCGCCGCCGUAAUAC